AGUCAAAGCACACAGUACCAUUUUUCCUUAAUUGAAUAGUAGGAAUCGAUUAGCUUUUCCCUGUCUUCUCAAAAUAUCUACCAGCCCUAAUCGCAGCUUCUUAAGGUUGGGGUUGAUUCGAUCUAUCUCCCUCUAAUUUGGAUUCUGUGAAGAAUAGUGAGGCAUUGCGACUAAGCAGUAAAUGUACAACGGAAUAGGGUUACAGACCCCAAGAGGGUCAGGCACUAAUGGGUAUAUACAAACCAACAAAUUCUUUGUGAAGCCAAAAACUGGUAAAGUUGCUCAUGACACCAAAGGAUUUGAGGCUGACCAGGGUACUGCUGGUAUCAGCAAGAAGCCAAAUAAGGAUAUCCUGGAGCAUGACCGCAAGCGCCAAAUCCUUCUCAAACUUACUGUGCUUGAAGACAAACUUAUUGAACAAGGAUAUACAGAUGCUGAAAUUGCUGAGAAGCUUGAGGAAGCUCGUGAGAAUUUGGAGGCUGCCUCAGCCGCAGAGGGAAGCGAUGGACCUGCUGCUAUAGUGGCUACCGAGAAAAAGGUUUCUGAUACGCAGUCCCAUCAAAUUGCUGCUAGAAAGGAAAAACAGAUGGAAACAUUAAGGGCGGCUUUAGGGAUCAGAAUGUCUGAACCCAGUGAACAAAAUGUUGAAAUGUCAGAUGAUGGACCACAAAAUGGUGGGAAGACUGGGCCAACUGAUGAUAGCAAGUGGGGUGAGAAACGUGAACAUGCCUUUUUGGAUAGAGAUUUUAGCCGGAAGAAAUCUACGGCUGAAAAUCAAAAUGCCGAUAAGAACGAUAAGAAGAAGAACAAGAAGAAAGAGAGAGACGGGCUUGAUGAUUUGAUGAAACACUACAAGAAGGGAGAAAGUGAUGAUAGGACUGACUCUGAUACUGACUCUGACCCUCGCAAUGGCAAGAAGAAGAAAUCUUCAAAGAAGCAUGUGAAAAGCAGAAUACGUGACUCGGACAGUGAGAGUGAUGAUUCUGCUAGUGAUGAUGACACUGAUUCUAACAGUGGGGGGAGGAAGAAGAAUAGAACUUUGGCGAAAUCCACAAAAAGCAAAAGGCAUGACAAUAAAAGUUAUGAUUCUGCUAGUGAUGAUGGCGCAGAUUCUGACAAUAUGAAGAAGAAGAAAAAAAAUUCAGAUAAAUCUGCAAAAAGCAGAAUACAUGACAAUGAUAGUGAUGAUUACACUGAUUCCGACUAUGGGAGGAAAAAGGAAAGCAGAUCUUUGGAGAAAGCCGGGAGAAGUAGAAGAAGAAGAUAUGACAGUGAGACAGAUGAUUCUUCUAGUGAUGAUGGCACUGAUUCAGACAAUGGGCAGAAAAACAAAAGCAGUAAACCACCCAUGAGAGGCAGAAGCAGAAGAUAUGACAGUGACAUAAAUGAUUCUACUAGUGAUGAUGGCACUGAUUCUGACAAAGGGAGGAAAAAGAAGAGCAAAACUCUGGUGAAACCCACUAUUAGCAGAAGACAUGACAGUGAUGAUUCGUCUAGCGAUGAUGACAUCGAUUUUGACAAAAGGAAAAAGAAAAAGAAUAGAACUUUGGAGAAACCCAAGAAAAGCAGAAGAAAUGACUCUGAUGAUUCUACUACUGAUGAUGAUAAUGAUUAUGCCAUUGAGAAGAACAAGAACAGAACUUCUGAGAAGUAUGAGAGAAGCAGAAGACAUGAUAGUGAUGUGGAUGAUUCCUUGACUGAUGAUGAUGAUGUUAGAAAGGUUACUCCCAAACAGGAAGUUGGAAACUACAAGAAAAUUCAUAGGAGGCAUGAUUCUGACCUUGAUUUGAACUUAUCUAAGCAUAGAACUGAGGAGAUGAAGCAGCAUGAGAAAAUAAGUAGUCAGCAUGACUCUGAGGAUAGCUCUGACACUGAUGGUGAGGUGAGAAGGGAGAAAAGUCCACUUGGUAAGCUUAGAAGUCAGGGAAAUAGAAGUAGCAGGAUAGGAAAUGAUGAUAGCAAUUUGGAGGAUCGUUGGAAGAGUGAGGACAUACCUGGGAGAAGUAGCAGGAUUCAUAGCAAGGAUGAUGAAUUGAAACGCGAAGCCAGGAGGAGUGAUCGGGAUUAUGAAGGGCAUGGAGGAGAGAAAAGGCACAUGAGGGAUGAAGUGGAUCGUAGAAGUGGAAGGUAUCGAAGAGAUGAAGAGGAUGGUGAGCAUCGAAGGCGUGGAAAGGAUGAUUAUGAUCAGCAGUAUGGAAGUCGAAGACAUGCAAGAGCAGAGGAAGAAGAGCGAAGAAGGAAAGGUCAUGAUGAUAGGGAUUAUGCAGGGCGUGGAAGGGAGAUGAGGCACCGCAUGGAUGAAGAGGCAGGGCAUGGAAGGGAGAUGAGGCACCGUAGGGAGGAAGAGGAACAUAAAGAGAGAAAGUAUAGAAGAGAAGAGCACGAUGAGAAGUAUGGAAAGCAUGUAAAAGCUGAAGACGAUCAACGGUAUGGAAGUCGAAGGCGUGGAAGAGAUGAAGAAGGAGAGCGAGGAAGCAAAAGUGAUGUGAGGGACAGACAGAUGGAAUCCUCCAAGAGAGCUAGGUAUGGUGAUUCUCGAUCAGAUGAGAGGAAAAGAUAUGAAAAUGAUAAAUGUGAUGAUGAUCGAGCCAGGUACUGAGACGAGGCAGCAAUAUGUCUGUUUUAGGCUUUUGGAUGUUGCCACCAUCAGAUUGCAGAUUUAAUGGGUGGUGGGAAGAAAGGAGAAAAUUAGAGUAACAUGUUUAAUGCAAAAGAUGCAAUUGCUGUAUUGAAGGAUCUGUCAUUCUUUCAGCUGUCAUAUUGAGGUUCAAUGCAUGCAAGGUUCAAACUCUAGUGCUUGUCAAUGUUUUUAAUAUCUUGAAUGAAUGUGGGAACUCUGUAACUUGGAUAUCUGGAUGUCACAGGGAGAAAUAAUAAAUGAAGGAAAGCCAGUGAAUGACUGGGUAGAGUGGAGGACUAUCUGUUGCUGAAUUGGGAGAUGCAUUCCACUUGUAGUUGUGUCAACUGGAUUGCCCAAGGAUUCACUCGUCUUUAUGUGAGAGACUUGCUGCUUUUCUGUCUACAACUAUACAUGGAAGUGUGUCGAAGAUCUGGCAGUGUUUAAACAGAAUAAACUUUUAUCUUGUUAUUUACUCUCCUUGUACAAGAAUAUCCUGCCCCUUUCAUGGGGUCAGAGAGAUGGUGUUUUGCAUCAGUCAUGCUAUGUUGUUUUAUUUCUAAUUUUUGAGAUGGAACAUGGUUAGUUGGGCAUGUGAUCUAAUGGUUGAUUUUACGUUUAUGGAAAAAAUGAGGACUCUUGCCACUA